GUGCUCUCUUCAGCAGCAUGUAUGCUAAAAUUGGAAUGAUACAGAGAAGAUUAGCACGGCCCCUGCUCAAGGAUGGGCACGCAAAUUCGUGAAGUGUUCCAUAUUUUU